AAGACUAUACUUUCAGAGAUCAUUUUUAUAGUUCAUUACUAGAGAAGUUUUUCUGAAUGUGUACAGCACUUUUAAGCACAGU
rnacentral:snoRNA from 1 species